GAGAGGAGCGAGCGACUCCUGCGCAAGCGCAGAGUGAAGGGCCGGGAACAGUGGAGGGUGCGAGGAAGACAAUGGGGGAGGACCCUGAGGCGGCCUCUGUGAGCCGACAGGAACACGUGGUCGAUCAGAGAGAGACUCUAUUUAAAGUCAUUUCCGCAGUUAAUUGCUUCAUGCUGAUGUAGUUUCUGAAAACUUCACAAGCACACAAAAAUCCUAGAACAUGGUGUCUUUUAGGAGGUUCGUGAACGGAUGGGGAGGACCCUGAAAAGCACUGUGGAAUACAGGUUUCUAGUAACUUCAAAAUCACAUCAUUUGGACUGGGUAAGAAUUGCUGAAACUUUAAUGAAAAGACUGACUGGCUUAUAAAACUGCUAACCCAAAUAGAAUAAAAAUUAAUUGAAUACCGAGGAAAUGCUUCACCAGGUUUGCAUACUUAAUCAGCCUAUACUGAAAUUGUUUAGAUAUACAAUUUGAAUGAACUCCAUGGUCUAAGUCAAAUUACCUGUGAUAACCCAUCAGUUAUCCAUGCUAUGUGCCCAAUUUGGAGAAACAACUGGCACCCAAGAGGACAUAAGUCCGAUGUUAAGCAUGGACUCAUGGAGAACCAAGAUGGCUGCCUUGUCCUUCGUGAGUCCUUAAAGCUUUUGUUAUUAAAAGUUAUGCAUUCCAUGACUCAUCCUGGAAAAGAUAAAAUGAUCCAAAUUAAAUAUGUUGGUGUGGUGACUUACAGAUUGUUAAAAUAGUUUAUAAACAAUGUUUAGUUUGUCAAACCCAUACUCCUGGGAAGUCAAUCAAAGCUUCAUGUACAUUUGGCUACCUGAUGAGGCAUUUAAACAUUUAUAAAGGGGUUUCAUUCAGUUGUCAUUUUCAAUGUAUGUGUUCUGGUUGUACUAAAGCUUUCCCAUGCAGGAGGGCUAAUGUUAUAACAGUAGAUUACUAUGUAUCAGUGUAUUUUCACCAGGUAAAGAGCUUUUUAUGGUUCACUGAGGACAAUCAACCCCUUCACAAUCUAGAACCCAAAGAUGGGAUCUUCUGAGAACAUCAGAGAAACGCUGCCCUUGGCAUCAUCACUGCAACAAAACAUCAGGAUCUUGAACCUUGGGGUCAUAAUCUCACAACUGAGCAGGGUCACUCUUGGAACUCUACAUCCAUUGAAACCCUUAAGGUAAAGCUAAUCAGGGAAGUUUCUCCCCAGAAGAAGAUGGCAUCCUUGAUGUGAGCAGCUCUUUCUGAAGAUCAUGGAUCAAGACUUCUUACUAUCAUGAGACUCUUAUCUUUGAAUGUUUUUCCGUUGCUUCCGCCUCUGUGAACAACAGAAGUGAGAAGGGGGUCUGUUUUGUGCACUUAUGGGGUAUACUUUUAUUUGUGAAGGGCUUUGCAGCCAGCUUUAUACAUGGAUAAUCUUAUAACUUGAUAGAUAAAGAUGAAGGCCCAGUGUAUCAUAGGUGAGAAACUUCAAUGGUACAUAUGGUGCCUCAUAAUCAUUCAGAAGCAGAACAUUGGUUCACUCCUCUUAACCCACAGCAUGGGUUAAAGAGACCAUUGCCAAGAGGCCUUCCCUCUUCUAGAAGGGCAUCAUUUGUUAGGUCCUUUUUCCAUGGUUUGGAAUUAAAAAGGCAAUGACUAGAAACAUAUCCCUCAUGGUAGACUCUGUAGCAGAUUCUACUGUAAAGGCUACACAACAGAUGUUAAAUUCUCUUGUGAAAGUUAUGCUAAAAAAUAGAAUUGGCUAAACAGGAAAGUACCUGUGCAGAUGCUGGCACUUAAGGCCUAUGGAGAAAACAUCAGGUGUUAUAGAGAGUCUGUUGUAGGGAAUUAACGAAAAGACCACUGAGUUAAGUCAAAGAAUGGUCUAUUUGAGUUUAGGUGGUCUGGUUUAUGGGGACCCUGGCUAAGGAGCAUACUCCAAAUUCUUGGUGUUAACCCUCUCAGUAGUCAUAAGAAUAGUCUCCCUGGUGCACUGUAUUCUCUCAAAGGUUUUAAAUGUUUGCAUGAAGCCAUCUUUAGAACGUCAGAUGGUCUCUCUUCAACUGGAAUGACAAGAGCUGAAAGAAAUGUGUGACCACGAGGACACCGAAACCGAUGAGUGACAUGCUGAGACUGGAAAUCCAAAAUGAUAGUAACGGAGAGUGGCGCUAACAUCCUAAGUUUUGGUCACACUCUUGCCUAAGUGACAACCUGACAAAGGGGGAAUUUUUUAAACAAAAUGAUGGGAGGCCAUUGUUUUGGACUGAGCACUAGGUCCCAACAGACCAAACCGAACCAAAAUGGCAUCAUUCGUGCUAAAUGUGACAUAAUCGAAUUAAGACUUUAAGGAAACACAUGGGUCCUAGAAUAGACCAGGUUUUGUUUUUCUCUUGCAAACAGGACUUUCCAGCAUAAGGUGGUAUCCUCAACUCAGUCCUUGUUCCUACCUUUGCAAAACUCACUGUUCUGCUUCCUAGUGGGUUUCAAGACCAAUGGUGACAGUGACAUCAAUAACUCAAGUUUCGAUCAAUCUCUCAAAACUGAUAAAAUGACCAAAAAGGGGGAAUUGUUAAAGCGAACUAAAUAUGGCCUGAGAAGGACUCCGUACUUCUGUAUUGGAGUCCCUGUGAACAAACUGAGCCUAACUUAAUAGGUAGACAAGAUUGAAAACCUAAAUUAGGAGUAUGUACCUGUCACAAUUGCUGAGUCUCGGCCAGUCCCAGCAGCCGUACUUCAAUCACUCAUACACUGCUGAAUGUUCAAACUGUGUGUAAAUAAGGCAAAUGCCAACCUGUAACUAAUCCAGGUGUUUCUCUACCUCACUUCCCUUUUUUUGUCUAUAAAUCUUCCACCACGUGGCUGCACUGGAGUCUCUCUGAAUCUGCUGUAAUUCUGGGGGCUGCCCGAUGUGCAAAUCAUUCAUUGCUCAAUUAAACUCCUUUAAAUUUAAUUCAGCUGAAGUUUUCUUUUAACAAGAGUGAGAUAAGAAUCUGUGUUCUUAUCCCCCAGAAUGGAC
rnacentral:lncRNA from 1 species